UCCUUUUUCAGGAUGUGGCCUGAGUAUGUUAAAGAUAGGAUAAGGACAACAUACAUGUACUUCAGAGGUUCCAUAAUGUUGACAGCUGCUUCAGCAAUGCUUGUUUUCGCAGUCCUCUAAUUAUGAAGGCAGUAAUGGGAAACUCUUGGGUGGUCAUUUUGGGCAGCAUUGCUGCAAUGAUUGGUACAGGAAUGAUAGUUCGCAGUAUACUGUACCAACCAGGGGUUGGGUCGAAGCAAGCUGCUUGGGCCCUCCAUUCGGCUGUUAUAGGCGCCGUUGUUGCCCCAUUAUGUUUUCUAGGUGGCCCAUUGUUUCUCCGAGCUGCAGUGUAAAAAAUUCCUUAUGACAUUCAGUAUCACUAUCGUACAACCAACCAUGACGGUAUUUUCAAUAUUUUAAAGAAUUAGCUUAUACCGAGCAAAAAUAAAGAAUUCUUUGCUAUUUUAAAACUACUGCAACUAGUGAGAACUUACGCUUAAAACAACUUUUUUUUAAUGCAAAAUAUGUUAUUCGAAGUGUGCAACUUGACAAUUAUGCUAAUACGAGAAAGCGUUUAUUCCACGGCAGAAUAGGAUCGACCACAAUAUUGAUUGCUAGUUAAAUUUUUUCAUCGGUAAGCAAAGGCUUUUGAUCUACCACUACAUGGUUCCAUGGCUGUUCUUCUCCAGAUGCGAAAACUGUGUAAACGACGAACUCGAGGACAAAAACCGCAGCCGUUGUGAAAAAAAUGAUUUGCCAUUGACCAAGUGUUUGCUAGAAGAAAAAACAAAUCUUUAUCUGUUGGCAAGCAAUCAGCAUUUGAAAAAUUUUCUCACAUUUCCGUGCGUUAGGUGGCCGACAAACGCGGGAACGAUGAAACCAGGAAUCGUAGCUGCCGUGUUAGUGAAAGCCAUAAGAGUUCCUGCAUAAUUCGGCGCGAUAUCAACGUGGUUGGUGAGGAAGCCACAAUACAUUCCGGCGACAAACAUCGUUCCGACAGUCAUCAACGCCACGGCGGCUUGGCGAUCGCAUCCCACCAAACUGACUCCGACAAAACAAGCGGCGGGGAAUAAGGAUGCUGUUUCAGGAUUUCAAAUCGGCUAAGCGCGUUCGUUGGGACACAUACCAAUGGCUGUAGACAGUUUGCGCACAGUCGUCGUCGUGAUCCAUCCUUUGCUCUUUGCCCAAUCUAAACGAUUACUCCAUAUAAUGCUGAAUACCCAUAGACACACGUACGGGAUGGCAGAUAAUCCAGCGUUCUGUUGCAGGAUGUUCGUGAUGUUUGUGUCCUGCAUGCCAUCCGUGCCAUCCGUGAAAUCCGUGCCAUCCAUGGAACCCGUGCCAAUGGUGUCCCUGGUGACUAUUUCUUCUUUUCUGCGCAUUCGGCUUGUCUGGAAUAACGGGAGUCAUGACAACAACAGACCCCUCUGUGAUGUUGUGAUCUUCUAAUUGCGCUGCUUCCUUAGAUGCUUCAUGACUUUCGUGGUCAUCGUGAUGCAUGGACGUUUCAAAAAGCUCCAACUCCACCGGAUGGAUACGCGGAUGAUCUUCCGGUGAGUCGAAGACAAAAAUUAGCCAUAAAACGCACCAGAUCAUAGAGAGACCUCCUUGAACGUAAAACACUGCUUCCCAACCGAGUGCAGCGGCUAAAAUACCGGAAAAUGGCAACGAGAUGACUGUACCUAGCGCCAUGCCUGUCGGUUUAAAGUUGCGUAAUCAAUUUUAACAGCAAACUCUAUGGGAAAAUAUGCAGCAAAACAACAUCUACCAGCAUAAGCUAACGACGACAUCAGGUUGCGCUCUUGCGGCAAAACCCAUUUUGUCAACAUAACGUGAAUGGCUGGUAGAGAAACACCCUAUUUCCAAAGGAAACGAUUAACAGUCAAAACAAACAUAGCCUACGCACCCAGUCCUUCAAUGAAACGAACAACGAGCACAGCGAUGUAACUGAUGUUGGCAGCCAACGGUGUUAAAAUGGUGAAAACAACAUUGACGAGAACAGAUGCCCAGAUGACCCACUUGGCCGAGUACUUUUCCGCUAUCAUUCCACCCGGAAUCUGAGUCAGAAGGUAACCCCAAAAGUAGGAGCUUAACACCAAACCCUGAACAGGCUCGGGCCACGCGAAUGGUCCAUCCUAUGAGUGACAAUACCAGGAGAUUAGUCAAUGACUAUAUGGUGAUUGUAUAAACAAAAAUUUGCAAUUCAUUAAUUGAUUUGAAUUCUGUCAUACCUGUAUGGUGUCAGUUGCAUUGGAAUGGGACACCGGAGCUGCGCAAGCAAACUCCGGUGGAGCCGUUCCGUUUUCGUUGGCGUUCCCAUGAUGCCCACCGUGAGAGGCUUCUGACAACGCCAUAGACGCAAGCUCCGUUGAAUUGAUCUUUCCAAUGAGGGUUGGACAGAGAAGCAUAUCAUUAAUAGUUAAAAGGCCGGUUGAAAACGUGAUUUCGAAUUAUUCUUACCAUGACGACAAUCGCCACGCUUAGGUUCACCUGGUGUAUUUCGUUAAGGGAUUCCCCAUGAAAAACAAAAGAAACACAAUGUAUAUUAUAGCAUCGUCAUCCUGUUUCAUGAGAUUGACAAAAAUAUAUGUUAAUGGAGUCGUA